CGAGGCGGGGGUGGCGGCGACCCCCCAGUGGCGCUCCAUGGGCGCGCCGAGCCGGCCCGCUCCCAUCCGCAGCAGGAACCGCUGCCGACCGAGCUAGCCCCCCAAGGCCAGUGCCCUCGUCGCCUCCUCCGCGGCAAUCCAGCCAGAGCAGAAGAACACCCUCGGCAGGCCGCCUCUUCCGUUGCGCCAACGCGCAGCAAGCCAAUCCAAGCAAGCUAGGGGCGGCCCGAAGGCCUCGUGUCCAAUCGGGUGCCUGAUUCGAGGCGGAUCGACCGCGCCUCCGUCCAGUGAAAGGCUCGGGGCGGGGCGGAGGACGGCAAGGGAGGGGAUCCGGGCUGGGCAGAGGAGAAGGCGGUGUUGCUGAGCGGAGAGUGAUGGCGGCGCCGCCCAAUGGACGCGUUGGUGGAGGGGUCCGCGCCCCCUUCCACCGGGGUGCACAGUGUUUUCCCAGUCCCUGCCUGCCUUUGAUACCCUCCCGGCCAAAUGCAAGUGACAGACAAGCUCAGAAUGAACAGCCUAUGUUUGUUCUCAUUUGGGUGGCCUUGGUUUAUCUCCAUAUCUCUAAAGCAAUUCUGGACACAAACUGAACGUACUCAUGAAACCAACACCCAAAUCAAAGACCUCUCACUGUUGUGGCCUCUCCCGUUGCAGAGUACAGGCUCCGGACGCGCAGGCUCAGCGGCCAUGGCUCACGGGCCCAGCCGCUCCGCGGCAUGUAGGAUCUUCCCGAACUGGGGCACGAACCCGUGUCCCCUGCAUCGGCAGGCGGACUCUUAACCACUGCGCCACCAGGGAAGCCCUGUACUGACUUCUUUUUCUCAACAUCAUGUCUGUGCGAUAUAUCCACAUUGAGUGUAGCAGUAUUUUCAUUUGUAUUCAUUGUUGUGCACUAGUAUUCUACUGUAUGACUUUACCCCAACUUUUAUAUAUAUAUAUAUAUAUAUCUAUAUCUCCAUUCUGUCCAUUCUACUGUGGAUAGACCUUUGGGUUGAUGCCAGUUUGGGGCUAUUUUGAACAGUGCACUUAGAAAUAUUCUUGCACAUAUCUUGGUAUACAUGAGCUCUUGUUUCUGUCAUGUACAUACCCAGGAGUGGAAUUGCUGGGUCAUAGGUUAUGCAUGUGUUCAACUUUAGUAGAUACUGCCUAUUUUCCAACAGGGUUUUACUAACUUACAUUACCCCUAAAGUUUGAGAGUUCAGUUGCUGUAUAUUUCCAUCAACAUUUGAUCUUGUCAGACACUUUCAUUUUAGCCAUUCUGAUAGGUGUCUUUGUAAAUUUAUACUUAAUAUUUUUCUUGUUCCCUAGAGGCUCUAAGUUUUACUGUUUUCCUGGAUUUCAUUGUUAUAAUUGUUAAUAGUACAUGACUGAUCAAAACAACACUUUUCUCUCCUCCCCCCCACCCCUGCCCUUGCUUUUAGACACUCCUUUAGACUACUCACAAUUAUAUUGGAGACAGUGAGUGAUAGAAGGGGGCACUUAAGGUGGGCUCUUUGCGUUAUUAUUGUGUCUCUCCAAGGCCUGUCCCCAUACUCUGCACUCAGUAGGAGCAAAAUAAAUAUCUGUUGUAUAAGUACAUGAAAAAAAUGACAUGAAAGCCUAUAUGUCUCCACCAUACUUUGUGAGUCAUUCCCGACCACUGGAGGGUAUGCAGGUGUCUUACUCAUUUUAGGCCUUAGACCUGGCACAGGGGAAUCCUUUAACAAACAAUAUCUGCUAAACCAAACUGACCUCCAGCUGCCUCACCUCAUGCAGCCUCAGGCCAUUGAGCCUGGGCACAUACAAGAUGAUUAUAUUCAUAUUGUCACAACAUCCCUGAGACUAUAUUAAUUAUAUAUUGCACAUCAUUACACUAUUAUAGCAGGUGGCAGAUCUUGGCACACCGGGCAGAGAUGUGAUGGUGUGAAAUCUCACUUUAAAUGGGGUCCCAGGCUCCAGACACCUGAUCAGCUGUGGGUCAUGGGCAUGGAGAACAUCCAACUCUGGGGCCCACAGGCCAGAGUCUUCCCUUGCAUUGUCCCCUCUGGUCCUUCGUCCCUCCCAGUCUUGCAGAUCAGCUGUAAAUUGGGUCAUACUUGUAUCCGUUUCAUAGGGUCAUUGUGAGGAUUAAACAAGUUAAUAUAUGUAAGGCACCUAGCCCAGCACCUGGUAUGCAACAAGGUAUGGGGUAAGUGGUAGCACUUUUUAUUAUUGCUGUUAUUAACAGCAGCAGCAGCAGGGAUGAGGAACGCUGAGUGACCAUGCCCUGCACCAAGUGUGGACUUCAUGGCCCUGGGCUACAUGGAAAAGAGCAGAAAGGGGAGCAUGUGAUUUUUAUCCAUAAAGAGUUAUCACUUCCAGCACAGACUAGCCCAGGGACCCUGAACACUACUCUCCCUGAAAAUGGGGGCGGAGGUGUUCCUUGGCCAUCAGCUUCACGAUAGUGCAUUGGUAGAAAGCAAGGGACCUCAAGGCUUGAAUGACUCCAUUUCUAGGAGACUCCUAUAAGAGCAGGACACAUGCUGUGAAGUUUGAAUCUGGCCAAGAAUGGGAAUUUCUGCCUGCUGGAAGGGCUUUGUCAGAGCCUAAAGGAGGCCCCUCGUGCAAUGGGGCAAACUGCCACUGGACACACCUGUCAGUCAUCACCUCUCUGGGACAGAAGCAGUAGCUAGAUACUUCCAAGGAGCUUGUCAGUGAAGGAACCUCCUCUGGGUGUCUCCUCCUAAGACAGGGAACCAGUGCUACUCACGCUUUGAACUGGUUCAAGAGGGAUGUCACCCACUGAGGCCAAGAAACCAAGAGGGGAAUGCCUUGGAAGAAAAAAGAGGGCCUUUGCCACAGAAUCCUCCUGUCCCAAGUCUUUCCCUUGACUUUCUGAACUCUUCACUUUCUGACUUACAAAAAGAACCUGUACAGAAAAGGGGGAAUCAGGCAGGGAUGAACAAGACUAUCCAUGAGUCCAUAAUUAUUGAAGGUGUGUAAUGGGCACGUGGAGGGGAAAGGUAAUUAUUCUAGUUUCUGUACUUCUGUGUGUGCUUAAAAGCUUUCCAUUAAAAAAAAAAGUUUCUUAAAAGAAGCUAUGAAUAA